GGGCCCGUAGCUCAGUGGUUAGAGCGGUCGGCUCAUAACCGAUUAGUCGCAGGUUCGAUCCCUGCCGGGCCCACCA
rnacentral:tRNA from 1 species